UUACGGCCACAUCAUAGAUGAAACACCGGUUCCACAUGAUUUCUGAAGUUGAGCAAAGUCGAGACUGAUCAGUAUUCGGAUGGGCGACCGCUUAGGAAUGCUAAGUGCUGUAAG